rnacentral:rRNA from 1 species
CCAAAGUAAGGACUACUGAGUUACGCUCUACACCCUUUGUGAAAUACCUAUAACUGUUGCUUCGGCGGGUAGGGUCUCCGCGACCCUCCCGGCCUCCCGCCUCCGGGCGGGUCGGCGCCCGCCGGAGGAUAACCAAACUCUGAUUUAACGACGUUUCUUCUGAGUGGUACAAGCAAAUAAUCAAAACUUUUAACAACGGAUCUCUUGGUUCUGGCAUCGAUGAAGAACGCAGCGAAAUGCGAUAAGUAAUGUGAAUUGCAGAAUUCAGUGAAUCAUCGAAUCUUUGAACGCACAUUGCGCCCGCCAGCAUUCUGGCGGGCAUGCCUGUUCGAGCGUCAUUUCAACCCUCAAGCUCUGCUUGGUGUUGGGGCCCUACAGCUGAUGUAGGCCCUCAAAGGUAGUGGCGGACCCUCCCGGAGCCUCCUUUGCGUAGUAACUUUACGUCUCGCACUGGGAUCCGGAGGGACUCUUGCCGUAAAACCCCCAAUUUUCCAAAGGUUGACCUCGGAUCAGGUAGGAAUACCCGCUGAACUUAAGCAUAUCAAUAAGCAGGGGAAAAAAAAAAACCCGAGAUUU